UUCCUGUACAUGUAGGUUAAAGUCCACCCGGCCGUAGCACUGUCAUAGACGCUACACGUUAUAUAGAUCGGCAGAACGUGCUGAAUCAUUGCAAAUUCUCGGAUAUAUCACACGUACAGUUGAAAAAGAUACAAUUUAAAAAAGGAGCAUCGUGAGAAAAUGACUUCCUUCCCAAUAGAUAAAUAUGCCCUUCCAGCAGCAGUUACUGUUGCAGGCAUCCACCAAAUGUGUAAGUGCGUAUAUCAAGUCAUAUU
rnacentral:sRNA from 13 species